rnacentral:rRNA from 1 species
ACGGGUCUUGUAGCAAUAUAAGGCUAGUGGCAAACGGGUGAGUAACACGUGGGUGACCUGCCUCAGAGUGGGGAACAACAGACCGAAAGGUUUGCUAAUACCGCAUAUGCUCGGUGAUUCAAUUGAUCGAGUAAAGGUGCAAAUCGCUUUGAGAGGGGCCCGCGGCCCAUCAGGUAGUUGGUGAGGUAAAAGCCCACCAAGCCGAUGACGGGUAGCUGUUCUGAGAGGAAGACCAGCCACAGUGGAACUGAGAUACGGUCCAUACUCCUACGGGAGGCAGCAGUGAGGAAUAUUGCGCAAUGGAGGAAACUCUGACGCAGCGACGCCGCGUGGGUGAUGAAGGCCUUCGGGUCGUAAAACCCUUUUAGCAGGGACGAGUGAGGACGGUACCUGCUGAAUAAGUCUCGGCUAACUACGUGCCAGCAGCCGCGGUAAAACGUAGGAGGCGAGCGUUAUCCGGAUUCACUGGGCGUAAAGCGUGCGUAGGCGGUCGGGUAAGUCGGAUGUUAAAGCCCCUGGCUCAACUGGGGGAGGUCAUUCGAUACUGCUCGGCUUGAGGAUGAGAGAGGAGAGCGGAAUUCCCGGUGUAGCGGUGGAAUGCGUAGAGAUCGGGAGGAACACCAGCGGCGAAAGCGGCUCUCUGGCUCAUAUCUGACGCUGAGUGCACGACAGCGUGGGGAGCAAACGGGAUUAGAUACCCCGGUAGUCCACGCUAUAAACGAUGAGGGCUGGGUGUUGGUUUCAUUUGGAAUCAGUGCCGAAGCAAACGCGUUAAGCCCUCCGCCUGGGGACUACGAACGCAAGUUUAAAACUCAAAGGAAUAGACGGGGGCCCGCACAAGCAGCGGAGCGUGUGGUUCAAUUCGAUCAACACGAAGAACCUUACCAGGGCUUGACAUGUAGGUGGUAGGGAAGGGAAACCGGACCGACCCGCAAGGGAGCCUGCACAGGUGCUACAUGGCUGUCGUCAGCUCGUGCCGUGAGGUGUUGGGUUAAGUCCCGCAACGAGCGCAACCCUCAUCGCUAGUUACAAGUGUCUAGCGAGACUGCCGGAUUAUAUCCGGAGGAAGGCGGGGAUGACGUCAAGUCAGCAUGGCCUUUAUGUCCUGGGCUACACACACGCUACAAUGGGUGCAACAGAGCGUUGCCAAACCGCGAGGUGGAGCUAAUCGCACAAAUGCACCCUCAGUUCAGAUUGCAGGCUGCAACCCGCCUGCAUGAAGCCGGAGUUGCUAGUAAACGCGCGUCAGCUAUAGUGCGUUGAAUGCGUUCCCGGGCCUUGUACUCACCGCCCGUCACGUGAUGGGAGCCGGUAACACCUGAAGUCGGUGACUGAACCGCAAGGACAGAACCGCCGAAGGUGGGACUGGUGACUGGCACGAAGUCGAAACAAGGUA